rnacentral:snRNA from 1 species
GUGCUCGCUCCGGCAGCACAUAUACUAAAUAUUGGAAUGAUACAGAGAAGAUUAGCACGGCCCCUGCAGAAGAAUGACAUGCAGGUUCAUGAAUUUUCCAUAUUUUUU